CCUACGGGCGGCAGCAGUGGGGAAUAUUGGACAAUGGGCGAAAGCCUGAUCCAGCCAUGCCGCGUGUGUGAAGAAGGCCUUCGGGUUGUAAAGCACUUUCAGUGGGGAAGAAAGCCUUGGGGCUAAUACCCUCGAGGAAGGACAUCACCCACAGAAGAAGCACCGGCGAACUCCGUGCCAGCAGCCGCGGUAAUACGGAGGGUGCGAGCGUUAAUCGGAAUUACUGGGCGUAAAGCGCGCGUAGGCGGUCUGAUAAGCCGGUUGUGAAAGCCCCGGGCUCAACCUGGGAACGGCAUCCGGAACUGUCAGGCUGGAGUGCAGGAGAGGAAGGUAGAAUUCCCGGUGUAGCGGUGAAAUGCGUAGAGAUCGGGAGGAAUACCAGUGGCGAAGGCGGCCUUCUGGACUGACACUGACGCUGAGGUGCGAAAGCGUGGGUAGCAAACAGGAUUAGAUACCCCUGUAGUC
rnacentral:rRNA from 1 species